rnacentral:rRNA from 1 species
UACGUAGGGACCAAGCGUUGUUCGGAUUUACUGGGCGUAAAGGGCGCGUAGGCGGCGUGACAAGUCACUUGUGAAAUCUCCGGGCUUAACUCGGAACGGUCAAGUGAUACUGUUGUGCUAGAGUACAGAAGGGGCAAUCGGAAUUCUUGGUGUAGCGGUGAAAUGCGUAGAUAUCAAGAGGAACACCUGAGGUGAAGACGGGUUGCUGGGCUGAUACUGACGCUGAGGCGCGAAAGCUAGGGUAGCAAACGGG